GUUUCCUUGCGCAGCUACACAUGCAAGUCGAGCGGUAGCACAGAGAGCUUGCUCUCGGGUGACGAGCGGCGGACGGGUGAGUAAUGUCUGGGAAACUGCCUGAUGGAGGGGGAUAACUACUGGAAACGGUAGCUAAUACCGCAUAAUGUCGCAAGACCAAAGUGGGGGACCUUCGGGCCUCAUGCCAUCAGAUGUGCCCAGAUGGGAUUAGCUAGUAGGUGGGGUAACGGCUCACCUAGGCGACGAUCCCUAGCUGGUCUGAGAGGAUGACCAGCCACACUGGAACUGAGACACGGUCCAGACUCCUACGGGAGGCAGCAGUGGGGAAUAUUGCACAAUGGGCGCAAGCCUGAUGCAGCCAUGCCGCGUGUAUGAAGAAGGCCUUCGGGUUGUAAAGUACUUUCAGCGGGGAGGAAGGCGAUAAGGUUAAUAACCUUGUCGAUUGACGUUACCCGCAGAAGAAGCACCGGCUAACUCCGUGCCAGCAGCCGCGGUAAUACGGAGGGUGCAAGCGUUAAUCGGAAUUACUGGGCGUAAAGCGCACGCAGGCGGUCUGUCAAGUUCGGAUGU
rnacentral:rRNA from 1 species